AGACGGAAUGAUUUCAUAUUCGUGCCUGUCUCAUACAUUUAGCCUCUCUGUGUAUACACAACCACAGAACCUCUCUCUCACACAGAUCAAUCACCAACAAACCUCACGACUGCGCAUCCUCAGCACCGUCGGUCCCCGUACGCCGCAAAUCAACACCACCGCCGCCGCUAACAGGCAAGUAUUUAUCGGGAGGAGAACAACGUUAUAGACUUGUAUAUCAUACUUCUUAGAUUUUCAAGGAAACGUUGUCUAGGCACUCUUUUUUGGGCCCAAAUGGUCUUUGGGGUGAAUGGCUGGGGCCUAGCCCAGAGACAAAGGUUCACUAUCUAAGCAAUACUGACUUGACUCCAAAUGAAAAUUCAAGGAGGUUGCACAAUAUGACCUUCAGGAAGUAAAAAAUGGUGAGUCAGAAGUGGGUAAAUCUACCAUGGAAUCAUUGCUGUCUUUGGAUGAUGGAAGACAGUCACUUCCAGCUGAUGACUCUUGUCCUCCCUUAAAUAAUGAAGCAACCAGUAAAAAUGAUGGAUGAUUUUUUGAGAUUGGCACGAGAAAAUACUUCAAAAAAUUUAGAAACAUGUGGUGUUCUUGCUGGUUCAUUGAAAAACAGGGUGUUCCAUAUCACUACACCGAUAGUUCCAAAGCAAGAGUCAACUUUAGAUUCGGAUAAAUUUUAAUAUUCAUUGAUAAGUAUAUGCAAUUGCAAUUGGCUACCUCUUGUAAAUCUGUAUAUUUUUUCGUUUUAAUUUAUAACUUACUUACCCCAUGUGGACAUCCCAUUUUUGACCACCCGCAAGGCUCGAGCGCUUUGUCCGGUACACUCAAUGAUGAAAGUGGUAUUGUGCAUGGUUCGAGGUCUCAACGAAGGAGCCUUGUUUAAGCUUCAAAACGACCCCAAACCUUUCAUAUUCCCAUUGAUUAUACCCAAGAAAUCCUUUUUUACACAUUGUGCCACCCUGUGCUAAGGCUGAAACAAAAAAACAGGGGAACACAUUGAGGCCCGGCCGUGCCUCAGUGAGGGCUGACCGUGGCUAUUAAGGGCCGGCCGGGCCUUGGUAGUGAGAAACAUUGUUCUGGGCGGGAGGUCGCCAGCUGUCCAUUUUUGAAGAUAUUUAUGAUAUUUUUGGCUCAAUUUCUAUUAAAACGACUAUAUACCUCUGUUUUGAGGGUUGAAAAAUUUCAAGAAAGCCUCUAUACCACCUUGAGAGCUCCUUCUUCUCCUUCUUCUUGUGCAAGCAACACUUUGAGCUAACCUAUCACCUUGAACCUAUAUCCAUACACCAUAUACACUUUCAUACCUUAGUUUAGGAACCUUGGUUGAGCCUUGAACACCAUAAUUCAAGCUUGAGAGUGUGUUGGAGCCUAGUUUGAUCACAAACAAAAAGCUUGCUUUCUUGAGAGGUAUAAGCUUGCUAUCUUCCCUUUUGCUUUCAUCCCUUUCAUUUGCUAUAUGAUUCUUGUAGUUUCUUGUUGCUUUGAUUCUAUUCUAAGUGUUUGAGUUUGGGUUUGGAGAGCUACCAAAAGGAUAGAGAGAAUUUAUACUCUUUCUACACCUUUAUCUAUAGCUCAAACCCUUACUUCUACACUCUUUUUCUUUGUUCUCUACACUGAUUUUCAGAGUUAA